rnacentral:rRNA from 1 species
UAGAGUUUGAUCCUGGCUCAGGAUGAACGCUAGCUACAGGCUUAACACAUGCAAGUCGAGGGGCAGCGGGAUUGAAGCUUGCUUCAAUUGCCGGCGACCGGCGCACGGGUGAGUAACGCGUAUCCAACCUUCCGUACACUCAGGGAUAGCCUUUCGAAAGAAAGAUUAAUACCUGAUGGUAUGAUGAGAUUGCAUGAUAGCAUCAUUAAAGAUUUAUCGGUGUACGAUGGGGAUGCGUUCCAUUAGGUAGUAGGCGGGGUAACGGCCCACCUAGCCAACGAUGGAUAGGGGUUCUGAGAGGAAGGUCCCCCACAUUGGAACUGAGACACGGUCCAAACUCCUACGGGAGGCAGCAGUGAGGAAUAUUGGUCAAUGGACGAGAGUCUGAACCAGCCAAGUAGCGUGAAGGAUGAAGGUCCUACGGAUUGUAAACUUCUUUUAUAAGGGAAUAAACCCUCCCACGUGUGGGAGCUUGUAUGUACCUUAUGAAUAAGCAUCGGCCAACUCCGUGCCAGCAGCCGCGGUAAUACGGAGGAUGCGAGCGUUAUCCGGAUUUAUUGGGUUUAAAGGGAGCGCAGACGGGUCGUUAAGUCAGCUGUGAAAGUUUGGGGCUCAACCUUAAAAUUGCAGUUGAUACUGGCGUCCUUGAGUGCGGUUGAGGUGUGCGGAAUUCGUGGUGUAGCGGUGAAAUGCUUAGAUAUCACGAAGAACUCCGAUUGCGAAGGCAGCACACUAAUCCGUAACUGACGUUCAUGCUCGAAAGUGUGGGUAUCAAACAGGAUUAGAUACCCUGGUAGUCCACACGGUAAACGAUGGAUACUCGCUGUUGGCGAUAUACUGUCAGCGGCUUAGCGAAAGCGUUAAGUAUCCCACCUGGGGAGUGCGCCGGCAACGGUGAAA